rnacentral:rRNA from 1 species
GACGAACGCUGGCGGCGUGCCUAAUACAUGCAAGUCGAGCGAGCGGAACUAACAGAUUUACUUCGGUAAUGACGUUAGGAAAGCGAGCGGCGGAUGGGUGAGUAACACGUGGGGAACCUGCCCCAUAGUCUGGGAUACCACUUGGAAACAGGUGCUAAUACCGGAUAAGAAAGCAGAUCGCAUGAUCAGCUUUUAAAAGGCGGCGUAAGCUGUCGCUAUGGGAUGGCCCCGCGGUGCAUUAGCUAGUUGGUAAGGUAAAGGCUUACCAAGGCGAUGAUGCAUAGCCGAGUUGAGAGACUGAUCGGCCACAUUGGGACUGAGACACGGCCCAAACUCCUACGGGAGGCAGCAGUAGGGAAUCUUCCACAAUGGACGCAAGUCUGAUGGAGCAACGCCGCGUGAGUGAAGAAGGUUUUCGGAUCGUAAAGCUCUGUUGUUGGUGAAGAAGGAUAGAGGUAGUAACUGGCCUUUAUUUGACGGUAAUCAACCAGAAAGUCACGGCUAACUACGUGCCAGCAGCCGCGGUAAUACGUAGGUGGCAAGCGUUGUCCGGAUUUAUUGGGCGUAAAGCGAGCGCAGGCGGAAGAAUAAGUCUGAUGUGAAAGCCCUCGGCUUAACCGAGGAACUGCAUCGGAUACUGUUUUUCUUGAGUGCAGAAGAGGAGAGUGGAACUCCAUGUGUAGCGGUGGAAUGCGUAGAUAUAUGGAAGAACACCAGUGGCGAAGGCGGCUCUCUGGUCUGCAACUGACGCUGAGGCUCGAAAGCAUGGGUAGCGAACAGG